AGCUCCAAUAGCGUAUACUAAUGUUGUUGCAGUUAAAAAGCUCGUAGUCGGAUUUCAGUAUUAGAUUCUUCUUCCUUAGGGUUGCUUGAAUCUUUACUUCUUUAACAGAAUCUUUCGUCACAUUAACUUGUGGUGUUUGGGGCCUGUUUCUUUUACUUUGAGAAAAUUAGAGUGUUCAAAGCGGGUUUUCGCCUGAAUAUUACUCUUGGAAUAAUAAUAUAGGACUUUGGUUCUUUUUGUUGGUGACUUAGAACCGAAGUAAUGAUUGAUAGGGACAGUUGGGGUCAUUCGUACUAUGAAGCGAGAGGUGAAAUUCUUGGACCUUUGUAUGACGAACUACUGCGAAAGCAUUUGACUAGGAUGUUCCCG
rnacentral:rRNA from 1 species